rnacentral:rRNA from 1 species
AUUGAACGCUGGCGGCAGGCCUAACACAUGCAAGUCGAACGGUAACAGGAAGAAGCUUGCUUCUUUGCUGACGAGUGGCGGACGGGUGAGUAAUGUCUGGGAAACUGCCUGAUGGAGGGGGAUAACUACUGGAAACGGUAGCUAAUACCGCAUAACGUCGCAAAACCAAAGAGGGGGACCUUCGGGCCUCUUGCCAUCGGAUGUGCCCAGAUGGGAUUCGCUAGUAGGUGGGGUAACAGCUCAACUAGGCGACGAUCCCUAGCUGGUCUGAGAGGAUGACCCGCCACACUGGAGCUGAGACACGGUCCAGACUCCUACGUGAGGCAGCAGUGGGUAAUAUUGCAAAAUGGGCGCAAGCCUGAUGCAGCCAUGGCGCGUGUAUGAAGAAGGCCUUCGGGUUGUAAAGUACUUUCAGCGGGGAGGAAGGGAGUAAAGUUAAUACCUUUGCUCAUUGACGUUACCCGCAGAAGAAGCACCGGCUAACUCCGU